AGAGCAUGGAAGGCCUUUUGGCUAAGAUCAAGUGUAGUAUCUGUUCUUAUCAGUUUAAAGAUCUGAUGACACGAACAUGACUCUAUGCAAUUUCUUAAAUAAACUAUACAACAUGGCAAACAUGUUAGAUUUCUGUUAUAAUUACGUGAAAAGAAGCUGUUGUUACGCGAAUAUCCAACUUUUAAUUGCA